UCGCCCUUUUCUAUCUCCGCCGUUCUCCUCUCAUAGUCUGAUGAAGCUCUGUCUUCGUCUCUGAGGCUCCUCUUUGGAUCUACCAUCUUUGAAGCUCUCAUCUCAGACAAGGAGAUGUUGAUACCAGGUAAAUUCAAUCUUCUGUCGCUGCACUACCAAUUGCUCUCUUAUUCUAGGUUCGAAUUGGGUCUUUGCUACCAUAUUUGGUCCCACGUUUCAAGUUGGGGUCUCAACUUCCACUAGAUUGUGCACAGGGAAAUGUAGGGCAAUUUUCCUCAUAUAUGCUUCAUGCACAGGGCCUUGAAAUAAUUCAAAUUACUUCUGGAUCAAGAGAACCCAAUAAGAUAUUGGAGGUUCGGUUGUACUAUUGCUAGCUAGCUUCAUGCACAGGGCCUUGAAAUUACUUAUGGAUCAAGAGAACUCGGUGCUAAAGCCCUAUACAAAACCUCUAAAAGAGAAAUUCCAUUUCUAGUGACGAGUUCCAAGUGCAAGAGUAGAAAAGAUUCCAAGAUUUGGGGAAGUAAUCAGGAGGAUGCCUAUGAUUUAGUUCACCAAUAACCAAAUGAUUUAGUUACUUCUAUAUUGGAUUUAGUACAGGACAAUCCCUAAACUCUUUUGAAUUAGUAUAUAGUAUUUGGUGUAACUACUUUGAAUUAGUACUUAUUGUAAGGGAAUACUUUGAGUUAUUACUUUUA
rnacentral:lncRNA from 1 species